AAAAAUAAGAAUGGUAGAAUGUGACUUCUUUGUUAUCCAGAUACUCCAAAGCACAAAAUGCGUUGUAACAUUGUACGCUAGGUAUCUGUCAUCUAUAAUAUUAUGGCUUGUUAGCGACACUGCGUAACAACACUGCAUUACUGAUUCCACAAGUGAUCAAAAUUCGUCAUUUAAUACGCCAAAUUAUUGAGGAGGACCGUAUUAUCUACAAUAUCCGUAUUAUCAUUUUUUCUACGUACAUGUACAGAGAUGCAAUUUCGUAUUGCGCCGGGAACACUGUGGAAAGCCGCAAAAAUGAGGCAGAGCUUUUCCAUCACCAAUGUUGUCAAAAGAAAAUACAUCAAAGUCGAUUAACUACGUGGAAUGGUAUUUUCCACGAACUUGUCAACCUAACGCACACAACGGCUAUAUUGCAUACUUUAGUGAAAGAUUUUUUUUGUUUAAAAGUAUGUAAAGUAAAAAAUAUCCUCACGAUGUAAAGGAAGGACACGAACUAAAACGAAGGUAACAAAUGUACUGUGCUGUUAAGCAUGACAUCGGGACAGAAUUACCAUGGUUACUCAUCGCACGCUCAUUUUACGGUACGUACGGAAAAGAAAACCUUUAUGUUCAUUUUUCUAUGUAAAUUUCAUUUUUUUAAUUUUUCUGAAGUAGCGUUUGUCGAAAGCGAUAGCAGUAAAUGCUUAUUUUUCUACUGCUUAUACAAAAUCAUCGGUACACCCGUUAUAUCGGGGAUACCUGCAUCGCAGGUGCCGCCCUUUUCCGGAGUAUUUUUCUCACUCAUACGGCGACGGCGGGCAGAAGGGCGAACAACGCGAGCAAACUCGUAACGGAAACUUUCAGAGUGCUCGUAAUUUCAUGCAGAAUUUGAAAAGAGCGGAAGUAGGACAAUUACGAUGGGAGGAACAAUCGAGUCCUCGUGAUUUCCGAGCACGUUAAACCCGUUUCCCUCCUUUAAGACAUCGCACGUAUGACAAUCUCACGUACUAUCGUGCAAGCAAGCGUAUAAUUAGAGAGAUCUUGUGAACUUAAUUAUAUCCGCAAGAACACAAAUGUAACUGGGAAAGAGACUCUCAAAAUCUAACAACAAAAACCAUGAAACACUGUGACGUUGAUAAGAGAUAAAAACGAAAAACUGCUCGGUUCUCUGCCCUUUUUAUUGUGCUUCCUUGUCUCGCAUUGCUGACAGUGCGGAAUGAAGGAGUUUCCCAUGCGUGAAGAUCAUUCCCGGAUUCUGAGUAAUCCAACCCAACCUGCUUGAAAUAGGGCAUCUCAACGUAAAUUUAUGAGAAGAUGAGAAAGAUAGAUAGAAAAAUAGAGAGAAAAAAAUAUAAGAAAGGAUCCAUUUAUAACUAGAAAAUUUAAAGCAAUGCGACGUAAAAUUUCUAACAAGAGAAAUAUUGACGUAAAAAAAUGUAUUUUCUACGGAAUACGACACGCGAUUUCUGAGGUGUCAAUCUUACUCAAGAACAAUUUAAUUAAAGAUUUAAUUACAUAUGCAAGAGAAGAGAAGUUGACGAACUGAUGCUGAUUAAAAUUGCAAUUGUUCGCGUAGUUUGGUUCUUAUAAUGUAAUUUUGAUCAAAUAAAGAAAACAAACUCAU